GUAAGGCAGCCAUAACACACCCCCUCCAAGAUGGAGAAAUCCCAUUUCUACUAAAUAUACAAAAUUAACUGGGCAUGGUGGUACAUGCCUCUAAUCCCAGCCAUUUGGGAGGCUGAGGCAGGAGAAUCUCUUGAACCUGGGAGGCGGAGGUUGCAGUGAGCCAAGAUUGUGCCACUGCGGAGCUUGGCGCACCAUGGCCAGACGGCUGGACCUGCAGCAGGAGCGUAACUUGCCGGAGCUCAUCUAGAGUGUCGCCAGCCUCCAGGACGAGACAGACCCCAACUUCCAGCUCGCCCUAACUUAGCCUGGUCCAGCUUAAGAAAAGACAGAUGAUUUAGAUUCGGGAAAAUACUUGAUGGAAGGUGAAGAAACGGACAUUGUUCCAGACAUGGACACACCACAGAUGAGCCAGAUGACUGAAGCUGGCUGGAACAUCAUGUGGUCCAUCAGUGCUGGACAGCCAGGCCUUCCCAGUUUCCUCAUAGCUUACUUUUGCACUCCAGUUUAGCUGCUGUCUGACUUUCCCUUGUGGGUUCAGAGGGGAGACUGAUGUUGCUAAGCCUUGCUGAGCAUCAUUUCUGGUGUGGCAGAGUCAACAGGCCUCCUGCUUCUUGACUACUCCUGACUCAUCUCUGCAGAGCAGACACACCUCACUUCUUGGACAUCACUGAAGAAUGUUCUGAUUUUAAUGUGUAGAAGUGUUACCUCGAAGAACCCUAUAAUGGGAGAACUCAAGAUGGCGCUGUGAGAACAACCCAGGAUUGAAGCUCUCACUGGACGCACGGAGAGGGGACAUGGAUGAAUCUGGAGAACAUCAUCCUCAGCAAACUGACACAAAAACAGAAAAUGAAACACCGCAUAUUCUCACUCAUAGGUGGGUGAUGAAAAAUGAGAACACAUGGACACAGAAAGGGGAGUACUAAACA